GAAAAUGUGGGGGGCAUAACCAUGACAAAUAUACUAGGUGUGGUUGUUAAUGGGUUUCGGACUCUAUAAUAUCAAAAUAAAAAGAGAAAUUUACAUCCACCACCCCUCGCGUUCGUCCCAAUUACAUCAUCCCCUCUUGUUUCGUUUUUUACAUUUAAAUCCAAAAAAUAACACUGUUUCACUGGGUGUUUUCCAUUAACUUGAACCCAAAUUUUCUAAAUUCCCAGAAAACCCUUCUUGCAUAUCCUACAACCUACGAAAGAACAAACACUUCGGGCCUUUGGGGCUUUCUUUCCAACUUCCGUCGAUUCCUUGGUCUGCGAUUCCUCACGGUAGGUUGUUCCGGCAAACAUCAAGUUGUUCUGGCGAAGUAGUUCCUCACCGUAGGUUGUUCCGGCGAAACAGGGGUGUGCGAUUCUUAUAGCGAGGGAAGAUUAUCAAACAAAAAGCUUGGAAAGGUCUGCCUGCGACGAAGCAAGAGCACAUCUACUGAUUUCCAGCGACGGAUUUCCAGCGACGAAGCGAGAGCACAUCUUCUGAUUUCCUGCAGGCAGAUUGAUCCUAUUUCCGCGACGGAGUUGAGUAUGGAUCGCUUGCUUGACUCGAUCUCCCAGCCAUGGAUUCUCACUCCGUAUCGUCCCUAGGGAAGUAGCUCCGCUCCGGCAGCCUUCAACUCGCUCUCAUCCACCUCCAUAACCCUCUACGGUCACCGUCGUCUAUAUCGGGAUUUCAAAAUUCCUGCGGUUUGGUUUUCAUCACCUGCACAAUAUGGAAUCAUGAAAGACCUCGACCUUACUGUUGCAGAGUACUGAGUCUUUGGUUCAAUAUUGACAAUUGAAGCUAUGGUAGGUGCCUCCAUAAGCGGCUGGAUUACAGAUCUUAUCGGUCGAAGAGGUGAUGGGUUGUAAUACAUAAGACCUCAUACCUUAGCCUCGCCGGAGAGUAUCAACUUCUCUGGAGGGUAAUGAUUUCGCCGGAGUGUAUUCUUCACUUCGCCGGAAACAAGGGCACCUCUCCUUGGAUGGAGAAGGUAACGGUUCAGUUGAGGGUGAGAUUUGGGGAUUUUGUUAUUUUGUUUUUAGUUCAAAGGUGUUAAAAAGGGUAUAAUAGGUAGGAAGGGUAGUUAGGUCUUUUUAAAUUCAAAACUAACACUAGUGAAACGAGUUAGUUUUUUGGAUUUAAAUGAAAAAAACGAAACGAGAAAGGGAUGAUGUAAUUGGGGCAAACAUAAAGGGUGGUGGAUGUAAAUUUCUCAAAUAAAAAAAAAUUCUUAAAAAUAAGAAUAACAAAAUAUAUUUUUCUUAACCAUUUAAGUAAUUAAUUAUUCAUUCAUAGGUAUAUAGAUAAGAGCAUAUUCUUUAGUAAAAUGCGAAAGAAUAGUUAGCUCUGUGCUCACCACACCGGCUGCAAAGCUAUCGGAAUCAAAGAAAUGGGUAAGGACUCUACUUACUUGGGAACUCAGCUUCUCAUUCUAAGGGCAAGUCUCAGGUCUUUCAUAAUGUGGUCCGUCGGAUGGAAUUAAGGCUUGGUACAUGAAAAUCCAAUCUUUUGUCUUACGCUGGUAGAACCGUACUAGUUCAAUCUUCUUUAUGUUCCAUUUCGUCUUAUCUCAUGAUGUGCUUCAAAUUGCCCUAGAAUAUUUGCAGGAAAAUUGACAAUAUAUGCUUGCAUUUUUGGAAGAACGAUUCCGAUUCCUUUAAGAAACUGCACACAAUUGGAUGGAAAAGGAUUUGUCAACCCAAAAAGUAUGGUGGCCUUGGUCUACAGGAUGCCGAAACUCAAAAUAAGGCUUUGUUGAUUCGUUUGCGAUGGAAGCUCCUCAAUGAACAUAAUACCUUAUGGGCCAGGACUCUCAAUGCCAAAUACUUCUUUAACAGAUCCAUCUUUAAUUAAAAAAAAACCAUUCAAUGCAGAGGGUCACCAUGCCGGGACGCUAUCGUAAGUAUCCUUCCAAUCCUCAAGCAAAUGUUUACCAGAAAAAUUGGAAACGGAAGUAAUACUUUCUUCUGGUACGACCCCUGGAUCUAUCACAAUAAGAAUGUGUUUAUUGAGAAUUUUUUGGCUUCUACUAAUAAUAAGGAUAAGGUUAGUAUGGCUUUGACUAAUCUUCAUUGGAAUAGCAAUCUUCUCGCUAGUCUACACCUUUUUCAUUUAGCUUCUUUAAACUCUAAUACCCCAAUUUCUAAUUGCGAAGAUAGAUGAUGGUGCCACCUUUCAAGCAAAGGAAUUCUUAUUACGAAGCUGGCAGCUCGUUUUCUUCAAAAAAAUUUACUAACUCACUCCAAUGAAUGCCAUAACAGGUGUAUAUGUUUAUUACGCUGCUUUCAAUGGUGGCGACUUCUCUCGAAAAUCAAUAUUCACCCCAAAUUUAAGUUGUUCUUUUGAAGAGUGGCUCUACAAGGGAUUCCUACCAAAGUGUUCUUAAAUACUUGGAUGGACAUAGAUCCCACUUGUGAUCUAUGUCUCCGUGGCCAGGAGAACAUUCUGCAUGUGUUUCUCACACACGAUUUUUCAAGAAGAAUUUGGGCUACUGAUCCGCUUGGACUAAAAAGUGAAUGUUUGAGAUUUGUUUCCUUUCCUUCCUUGAUUAUGUAUUUCUUUCAUUUAUAUAUGUCGAAUCUCAGUGACUUGAAUCACUUUUUCAAAGUUUUUAUUUUUACUUGUUAUUUCAUUUGAAAACAUAGGAAUUCCUUCA